UACGUAGGGCGCAAGCGUUGUCCGGAAUUAUUGGGCGUAAAGAGCUCGUAGGUGGUGUGUCGCGUCUGCCGUGAAAGCCCGGGGCUUAACUCCGGGUCUGCGGUGGAUACGGGCAGACUAGAGGCAGGUAGGGGAGAACGGAAUUCCCGGUGUAGCGGUGAAAUGCGCAGAUAUCGGGAGGAACACCGGUGGCGAAGGCGGCGCCCUGGACGGACAUUGACGCUGAGACGCGAAAGCGUGGGGAGCAAACAGG
rnacentral:rRNA from 1 species